CGAUGCGCAAACCUCUUACACGUGAAAGCAGAUUCUCUCAGCCAAUCAGCAGAAGCUGUCGACACCGGAACGCUAUGCAUGCGUGCGGUAGAGUCGAAUAACUUCACCAGAUGUCUCCAGCAGAGCGCAACACACUGCCAACUUACCACUUCCAUUUCCAAGAUCAGCUGGAAUUCAUCAAACCACGAAAUACAGAGUCUUUGUGAUUCGGUGUGUCCGAAUUUUCUGGAGAGAGUGAUCAACGUAACGCGAUGCAGCCAUGAUAUUGUAACCAACCCAAAUAU